UACGAAGGGGGCUAGCGUUGCUCGGAAUCACUGGGCGUAAAGCGCACGUAGGCGGACUCUUAAGUCGGGGGUGAAAUCCUGGAGCUCAACUCCAGAACUGCCUUCGAUACUGGGAGCCUUCGAGUUCGGGAGAGGUGAGUGGAACUGCGAGUGUAGAGGUGAAAUUCGUAGAUAUUCGCAAGAACACCAGUGGCGAAGGCGGCUCACUGGCCCGAUACUGACGCUGAGGUGCGAAAGCGUGGGGAGCAAACAGG
rnacentral:rRNA from 1 species